rnacentral:rRNA from 1 species
CCUACGGGGGGCUGCAGUGGGGAAUAUUGGACAAUGGGGGCAACCCUGAUCCAGCCAUGCCGCGUGUGUGAAGAAGGCCCUCGGGUUGUAAAGCACUUUCAGUGAGGAAGAACGCCUGGUGGUUAAUACCCAUCAGGAAAGACAUCACUCACAGAAGAAGCACCGGCUAACUCCGUGCCAGCAGCCGCGGUAAUACGGAGGGUGCGAGCGUUAAUCGGAAUUACUGGGCGUAAAGCGCGCGUAGGUGGCUUGAUAAGCCGGUUGUGAAAGCCCCGGGCUCAACCUGGGAACGGCAUCCGGAACUGUCAAGCUAGAGUGCAGGAGAGGAAGGUAGAAUUCCCGGUGUAGCGGUGAAAUGCGUAGAGAUCGGGAGGAAUACCAGUGGCGAAGGCGGCCUUCUGGACUGACACUGACACUGAGAUGCGAAAGCGUGGGUAGCAAACAGGAUUAGAUACCCUUGUAGUC